UCCCUGGUGGCUCAGACGGUAAAGCGUCUGCCUGCAAUGCGGGAGACCCAGGUUCAAUUCCUGGGUUGGGAA
rnacentral:tRNA from 1 species